AGAGGAGGAAGCUGAGCUCUGGCACAUGGAACUUGUCCAAGGUCACACAGCUGCAGGCACACUGGCACAGGGCCUGGCCAACCGUCUGUGGAGUUGAUCCAAACCAAUGCUGUGCUGGAAAUCACUCCUGGCUGCCCAAACGGAGGCCCGGUGCCUCUGGUCAUGUCCACAUCUCGUCCAGCGCUUCUGCUGCCUCACCAAGUCUGGAAAGAGCUGCUCUUAUCUCAGGCUACCCACUUCCACUCCGCGCCCCUGCCUGUCCCAUCUCUUGGAAUGAGCGCCAGCUUCCUGGGAGUGGAGUGUACCUCUUUCCCAAACAGGCCCUCUGUCUGGAACGCGCCUCUUCUCACUCCCUGAGUCAUCAAUAAAUCUGUCUCACUUUGUCCUGA
rnacentral:lncRNA from 10 species